UUUUUUUUUUCUUUGGUUAAUAAUGUAAGAAAUCAAUGGAUUAUAGGCGACUUAGUGCAGUUUAUGCAGUCUGUGAUGGAGGAUACAUUCAGCACUAGAGAAUUAAUGACGGAAAUUGCGAUGAUGACGAUUGUAGCUUUUCGCGAAUGACGCAUCGUGUUAUCGCAUCCUUCACGACUAAAUAACAUGAUCACGAUAUUUGCUUUACAUACAUCUAUUAGUAAUAAAGUCAUAAAACUUGACUGUUGGAAUUUCCUAUUUUCUAACAAUUUAUAGUCUUCAUAUUUCGUAGUGGCACUCAGAAUUACGAGUGUUUGGAGACGGAGGAAAAAAAUUGUUAUAAAGGAAUUGGGUCAACGCAUUGUGGACAGAGGCCAUGAUCGCAAUUCCGGAUUGAAUCUAGUUAAAAGACCAUCACCAGCAAUUCAACAUGGAUUAUAAGAACCUUUGGAUGGGAAAACAUCAUAAAA